CACCCCGAAGGAGAAAAUCUCGCUAGGGCCUCCAAAUGUUAUGGGGUGCACAGUAUAUAAGAUCACCAAAGCCAAUUUAGAAUUUGGGGAGUCUUUAUUAG
rnacentral:miRNA from 1 species